rnacentral:tRNA from 1 species
CCCUAGAAAAUCUUUUAAA